UUGCCCUGAUGGGAUUGGACACUGCGUAACGUAUGCCGGUCCAUCUGCCCAACCGGUUCGGAGCUGCCGAAUUCCGUGCCUGACCAGAACAAGAAAGUGAGGUUUCUGGUGAAGAGGAAAGGGCAGAGAAAGUUGAGAGUUGAAGGAAGGUGGCAUUCUCAAAUCUCAAGUAAGUAAGGUGAAAAUGGAUAGUUUGCAAAAAAA